CAAUAGCGUAUAUUGAAGUUGUUGCGGUUAAAAAGCUCGUCGCUGGAUUUCUGUUGAGGUCGAACAGUGCCACCCUAUGGGUGCGCAACUGGCUCGGCUUCGGCAUCUUCUUGGAGAGCGCAUCUGCACUUAACUGUGUGGAUCGUACUUCAAGUCAGUUACUUUGAGGAAUUGUGAGUGUUUCAAGCAGGCUUACGCCGUUGAAUCCGUUAGCAUGGAAUAAUAGGAUAGGACCUCGGUUCUAUUUUGUUGGUUUUGAGAGCUGGGGCAGCGAUUGAUAGGGACGGAUGGGGGCGUCCGAACUUUACUGUCAGAGGUGAAAUUCUUAGAUCGGUCAAAGGCGAACUACUGCGAACGCAUUCGCCAAGAAUGUUUUCUUUAA
rnacentral:rRNA from 1 species